UACGGGGGAGCAAGCGUUGUUCGGAUUUACUGGGCGUAAAGGGCGCGUAGGCGGCCACCGCAAGUCGAUUGUGAAAUCUCCGGGCUUAACCCGGAAAGGUCAACCGAUACUGCGGGGCUAGAGUGCAGAAGGGGCAACUGGAAUUCUCGGUGUAGCGGUGAAAUGCGUAGAUAUCGAGAGGAACACCUGCGGCGAAGGCGGGUUGCUGGGCUGACACUGACGCUGAGGCGCGAAAGCUAGGGGAGCGAACGGG
rnacentral:rRNA from 1 species